rnacentral:rRNA from 1 species
GUGUCAGCCGCCGCGGUAAUACAGAGGGUGCGAGCGUUAAUCGGAAUGACUGGCGUAAAGGGCGCGUAGGUGGCUAAUUAAGUUAGGUGUGAAAUCCCUGGGCUUAACCUAGGAACUGCAUUUAAUACUGGUUAGCUAGAGUACGGGAGAGGGCAGUGGAAUUUCCGGUGUAGCGGUGAAAUGCGUAGAUAUCGGAAGGAACACCAGUGGCGAAGGCGACUGCCUGGCCUGAUACUGACACUGAGGCGCGAAAGCGUGGGUAGCGAACAGGAUUAGAUACCCUGGUAGUCCACGCAGUAAACGAUGAGGACUAAGCGAGGGGUUGGUAUAACUGACUUCGUGCUGUAGCUAACGCGAUAAGUUCUCCGCCUGGGGAGUACGGCCGCAAGGUUAAAACUCAAAGGAAUUGGCGGGG